AUACGUAGGGGGCGAGCGUUGUCCGGAAUGAUUGGGCGUAAAGGGCGCGUAGGCGGCCCGGUAAGUCUGGAGUGAAAGUCCUGUUUUUAAGAUGGGAAUUGCUUUGGAUACUGUCGGGCUUGAGUGCAGGAGAGGUAAGUGGAAUUCCCAGUGUAGCGGUGAAAUGCGUAGAGAUUGGGAGGAACACCAGUGGCGAAGGCGACUUACUGGACUGUAACUGACGCUGAGGCGCGAAAGUGUGGGGAGCAAACAGGAUUAGAUACCCUGGUAGUCCACACUGUAAACGAUGAAUGCUAGGUGUAGGGGGUAUCGACCCCUUCUGUGCCGCAGUCAACACAAUAAGCAUUCCGCCUGGGGAGUACGGCCGCAAGGCUGAAACUCAAAUGAAUUGACGGGG
rnacentral:rRNA from 1 species